CGGAGGGUCAUUAUAGAGUUUUCUAAACUCCCAACCCAUGUGAACUUACCUUUUGUUGCCUCGGCAGAAGUUAUAGGUCUUCUUAUAGCUGCUGCCGGUGGACCAUUAAACUCUUGUUAUUUUAUGUAAUCUGAGCGUCUUAUUUUAAUAAGUCAAAACUUUCAACAACGGAUCUCUUGGUUCUGGCAUCGAUGAAGAACGCAGCGAAAUGCGAUAAGUAAUGUGAAUUGCAGAAUUCAGUGAAUCAUCGAAUCUUUGAACGCACAUUGCGCCCAUUAGUAUUCUAGUGGGCAUGCCUGUUCGAGCGUCAUUUCAACCCUUAAGCCUAGCUUAGUGUUGGGAAUCUACUUCUCUUAGGAGUUGUAGUUCCUGAAAUACAACGGCGGAUUUGUAGUAUCCUCUGAGCGUAGUAAUUUUUUUCUCGCUUUUGUUAGGUGCUAUAACUCCCAGCCGCUAAACCCCCAAUUUUUUGUGGUUGACCUCGGAUCAGGUAGGAAUACCCGCUGAACUUAAGCAUAUCAAUAAGCGGAGGAAAAGAAACCAACAGGGAUUGCCUUAGUAACGGCGAGUGAAGCGGCAACAGCUCAAAUUUGAAAUCUGGCCCUUGGGUCCGAAUUGUAAUUUGUAGAGGAUGAUUUUGGUGCGGUAUCUUCCGAGUUCCUUGGAACAGGACGCCUUAGAGGGUGAGAGCCCCGUACGGUUGAAUGCCUAGCCUCUGUAAAUCUCCUUCGACGAGUCGAGUAGUUUGGGAAUGCUGCUCUAAAUGGGAGGUAAAUUUCUUCUAAAGCUAAAUAUUGGCCAGAGACCGAUAGCGCACAAGUAGAGUGAUCGAAAGAUGAAAAGCACUUUGAAAAGAGGGUUAAAUAGCACGUGAAAUUGUUGAAAGGGAAGGAUUUGUGACCAGACUUUUUCUGGGCGGAUCAUCCGGGGUUCUCUCCGGUGCACUUCGCCCAGUAAAGGCCAGCAUCGGUUUUCGGCGUGGGAUAAAAGCAGUAGGAAUGUGGCUCUCUACGGGGAGUGUUAUAGCCUAUUGUAUAAUACCGCGCUGGGGACCGAGGUUCGCG
rnacentral:rRNA from 1 species